ACAGAAACAGAGAGGUUAGACGGUACUGUGGGUCAGGUAGGUUGAGAAGACAGAAACAGAGAGGUUAGACGGUACUGUGGGUCAGGUGGGUUGAGAAGACAGAGAGGUUAGACGGUACUGUGGGUCAGGUAGGUAGAGAAGACAGAGAGGUUAGACGGUACUGUGGAUCAGGUAGGUUGAGAAGACAGAGAGGUUAGACGGUACUGUGGAUCAGGUAGGUUGAGAAGACAGAGAGGUUAGACGGUACUGUGGGUCAGGUAGGUUGAGAAGACAGAAACAGAGAGGUUAGAC